rnacentral:rRNA from 1 species
GAUGAACGCUGGCGGCGUGCCUAAUACAUGCAAGUCGAGCGAACAGACGAGGAGCUUGCUCCUCUGACGUUAGCGGCGGACGGGUGAGUAACACGUGGAUAACCUACCUAUAAGACUGGGAUAACUUCGGGAAACCGGAGCUAAUACCGGAAAAUAUAUUGAACCGCAUGGUUCAAUAGUGAAAGACGGUUUUGCUGUCACUUAUAGAUGGAUCCGCGCCGCAUUAGCUAUUUGGUAAGGUAACGGCUUACCAAGGCAAAGAUGAGUAGCCGACCUGAGAGGGUGUUCGGCCACCCUGGAACUGAGCCACGGUCCAGACUCCUACGGGAGGCAGCAGUAGGGAAUCUUCCGCAAUGGGCGAAAGCCUGACGGAGCAACGCCGCGUGAGUGAUGAAGUUCUUCGGAUCGUAAAACUCUGUUAUUAGGGAAGAACAAAUGUGUAAGUAACUAUGCACGUCUUGACGGUACCUAAUCAGAAAGCCACGGCUAACUACGUG